AACAUCGCGCACCUGCGGGAACCUGCGGAGGGAUCAUUAUCGAGUUAGGGUCGUUCUGGCCCGAACUUCCAACCCCUUGUUUAUCACACCAUGUUGCUUUGGUAGGCCCGCCCCUCCUUGGGGGCCGCCGGAGGUUAUCUUACCUCUGGCCCGUGCCUGCCAGUAGCCUUAUUAAAUUCUUUUUUAACUGUGUCGUCUGAGUGGCCUUUUAAAUCGUUAAAAACUUUCAGCAAUGGAUCU
rnacentral:misc_RNA from 1 species